AUGGCGGCAUCCUAUGGAGCUGCACGGUCUUUCGUCUUAUAGCUUGAUCGCAAAACUGAAUUGUCAUUUGAAUCGACCGCUUGGAUCUUAACUAGACCGAGACGGAAGG
rfam:Anaerosporomusa subterraneum strain RT4 RT4_contig_5, whole genome shotgun sequence.